rnacentral:rRNA from 1 species
GACGAACGCUGGCGGCGUGCUUAACACAUGCAAGUCGAGCGGUAAGGCCCUUUCGGGGGUACACGAGCGGCGAACGGGUGAGUAACACGUGGGUGACCUGCCCUCAGCUCUGGGGAUAAGCCUGGGAAACCGGGUCUAAUACUGGAUAUGACUCCAUGACGCAUGUUGUGGGGUGGAAAGCCUUGUGCGGCUGAGGAUGGGCCUGCGGCCUAUCAGCUUGUUAGUGGGGUGAUGGCCUACCAAGGCGACGGCGGGUAGCCGGCCUGAGAGGGCGACCGGCCACACUGGGACUGAGACACGGCCCAGACUCCUACGGGAGGCAGCGAGUGGGGAAUCUUGCGCAAUGGGCGAAAGCCUGACGCAGCGACGCCGCGUGAGGGAUGGACGGCCU